GUAUCAAUCGUUGCCCCAGUAGCUCAGUGGUAGAGCAACUGCAUUUGUGUGUUUAAGGCCGAGGGAGCACUGUCAGCGUGUCGCAGGUUCGAAUCCUGCCCGAUGGCUA
rnacentral:tRNA from 1 species